UAGUAACAAGAAGACCAGAACCUCUUCCUUCUUCUUCUUCGUAUACACCGCCGCCAACAACCAUUUCCUCUUCCUUCUUCUCGCCUCGACCACGAUCAUUACAAUGGUUGUCUUAGAAAACUGAGACCACAUUUGUGAUCAUUGUGAUCUCCUCUUUCAUUCUCAACCUAAAUCGUAAAUUGAAACGUCUUAUUUCUCUUUGUCAAAAAUCACACCUCCACCUUUGGAUCAAGAUUUCGGCCACCACGACUAUCACAAACGAAAACCAAGACCAUAUUUGGACUCCAUAAAAAACCCUCUUUCGUUACCUAUGCUCGAAAUCGCCAACCGUUACAUUUUAAAAAAUGGGUUUCCACCAUUGUCGCAGCUGCUUUCUUGAAUUCUGGACAACAUGUUCAUCAUCUUGAAAAAAUGAUAUCGUUUUUGAAUUCCUCUCGUCGAAACCUUCAAGAAGCACUACUCGUUUGUCUGUUUCGGGGAAGUUGAUGUCGGACCGUAUCGGUGCUCCAACACGUCGUGCGCGUAAAUUAUCAGCCAUGUUUCAUUGACUCUGCAAAUUCGUCGAUGCGUUUGGACUCGUUUGUUGUGUGUUGUCGACAUCUCAUGGUUGCUGAAAAUCAUUAUGGUCCUUCUAUCUUAUGAAAGCGUCAAAUUGAGUUAUUUCAGGUUAUCGAUUGGGGAUCCACGCUCUGAAUAGGUGAUACUGGGUGGGAGUGAUUUUUCGUAGUUUGUUGAGUUAUGAACAAUUUAGAUUUUUUGUAAAUUUGAUUGAUCAAUUGUGUUAUUUGUAUCGGUUAUUUAGAGGUAGAAAUUA